rnacentral:rRNA from 1 species
ACUGCUCAGUAACACGUAGUCAACAUGCCCAGGGGACGUGGAUAACCUCGGGAAACUGAGGAUAAACCGCGAUAGGCCAAGAUUUCUGGAAUGAAUCAUGGUUUAAAUCUAUAUGGCCCCUGGAUUGGACUGCGGCCGAUCAGGCUGUUGGUGAGGUAAUGGCCCACCAAACCUGUAACCGGUACGGGCUCUGAGAGGAGGAGCCCGGAGAUGGGCACUUAGACAAGGGCCCAGGCCCUAUGGGGCGCAGCAGGCGCGAAACCUCUGCAAUAAGCGAAAGCUUGACAGGGUUACUCUGAGUGAUUUCCGCUAAGGAAGUCUUUUGGCACCUCUAAAAAUGGUGCAGAAUAAGGGGUGGGCAAGUCUGGUGUCAGCCGCCGCGGUAAUACCAGCACCCCGAGUGGUCGGGACGAUUAUUGGGCCUAAAGCAUCCGUAGCCGGUCCUGCAAGUCCUCCGUUAAAUCCACCCGCUCAACGGUUGGGCCGCGGGGGAUACUACAGGGCUAGGAGGCGGGAGAGGCAAGCGGUACUCGAUGGGUAGGGGUAAAAUCCACUGAUCCAUUGAAGACCACCAGUGGCGAAGGCGGCUUGCCAGAACGCGCUCGACGGUGAGGGAUGAAAGCUGGGGGAGCAAACCGGAUUAGAUACCCGGGUAGUCCCAGCUGUAAACGAUGCAGACUCGGUGAUGGGCUGGCUUCGUGCCAACCCGGUGCCGCAGGGAAGCCGUUAAGUCUGCCGCCUGGGGAGUACGGUCGCAAGACUGAAACUUAAAGGAAUUGGCGGGGGAGCA